AUGAGGAACAUCAAUCAAAGUGCAGGACUUUGCAAUGGGACAAGACUAACAAUAACACAGCUAGGAAAGUGUUUCAUCGAAGGCCAGGUCAUAACAGGUACUAACAUUGGUGAUAAAGUUUACAUCCCACGAAUUAUUAUCUCACCAAGUGAUUCAAAAUGGCCUUUCAUUCUGAAAAGGAGACAAUACCCAAUAUCAGUGUGCUUUGCUAUGACAAUAAACAAAAGUCAGGGGCAAUCUCUCAAAAAGGUUGGACUCUACUUAGAAAGGCAAGUGUUCACACAUGGCCAACUCUAUGUUGCAAUGUCAAGGGUUACCAGCAGAAAUGGAUUGCGGAUACUUAUAUCAGAUGAAGAGCGUCCAUCCGACAAGGUUGCAAAAAACAUUGUUUACAAGGAUAUAUGA
rnacentral:rRNA from 1 species